rnacentral:rRNA from 1 species
GAGGGAUUUUGUGCAAUGGGGGUAACCCUGACGCAGCAACGCCGCGUGAGUGAAGAAGGCCUUUGGGUCGUAAAGCUCUGUCAACAGGGAAGAAGUUGCAUCGGAUUAAGAGUUUGAUGUAUUGACGGUACCUGUGGAGGAAGCACCGGCUAACUCCGUGCCAGCAGCCGCGGUAACACGAGGGGUGCAAGCGUUAUUCAGAAUUAUUGGGCGUAAAGUGCGCGCAGGCGGUCUUGUCAGUCAGAUGUGAAAGCCCGGGGCUCAACUCCGGACGUGCAUUUGAAACAGCAGGACUUGAGUACAGGAGAGGAAAGCGGAAUUCCUGGUGUAGAGGUGAAAUUCGUAGAUAUCAGGAGGAACACCGAUGGCGAAGGCAGCUUUCUGGACUGAUACUGACGCUGAGGCGCGAAGGCGUGGGUAGCGAACAGGAUUAGAUACCCUGGUAGUCCACGCGGUAAACGAUGUUCACUAGGUGCAGCGUGUAUUAAAACAUGCUGUGCCGCAGCCAACGCAUUAAGUGAACCGCCUGGGGAGUACGGUCGCAAGAUUA